GAUGAACGCUGGCGGCGUGCCUAAUACAUGCCAGUCGAGCGAACGGACGAGAAGCUUGCUUCUCUGAUGUUAGCGGCGGACGGGUGAGUAACACGUGGAUAACCUACCUAUAAGACUGGGAUAACUUCGGGAAACCGGGGCUAAUACCGGAUGAUAUUUUGAACCGCAUGGUUCAAAAGUGAAAGACGGUCUUGCUGUCACUUAUAGAUGGAUCCGCGCUGCAUUAGCUAGUUGGUAAGGUAACGGCUUACCAAGGCAACGAUGCAUAGCCGACCUGAGAGGGUGAUCGGCGACACUGGAACUGAGACACGGUCCAGACUCCUACGGGAGGCAGCAGUAGGGACUCUUCCGCAAUGGGCGAAAGCCUGACGGAGCAACGCCGCGUGAGUGAUGAAGGUCUUCGGGUCGUAAAACUCUGUUAUUAGGGAAGAACAUAUGUGUAAGUAACUGUGCACAUCUUGACGGUACCUAAUCAGAAAGCCACGGCUAACUCCGUG
rnacentral:rRNA from 1 species